GGCAGUUCCUGCGUGCCCCGGGGCCCACGCAGAAAAGCCCGCGCGGGGCCCCCGGGGGCAACGCGUGCCCCUCCAGGGAAAUGCCACCAGCAACCCGGACCCAAGCCUCCAGCCGCGCGUGCCUCGUCCCGGGUCUCAGGGCGCCACCCCAGCAACCUAAAGGCUGCCCCGCGACCCCGCGACCCCAGGCAGGAAACGACACUCGGCUACCUCCCGUUCAAGACCUACAGGAACAAAUGCAGUAAACUUAUCCUCGUAAAUGGGGAGUCAAAGUAACGUGCUUUCUAAGUAGCAGAACGUGACUUUGAUCCCAAGUGAGACGGGGCUGUUUGUUCCCUGCAGCCUGGACCAUACCUAAUGAUUGCUGCAUGACACACCACCCCCAAACCUAACAGCAAAAGCCAGUAGACAUUUAUGAUUCCACUAGAUUCUAAGGGUCAAGAAAUCAGGAGAGGCUUGGCUCCGUCUGAGUCAGGGUCGGCCCGUGCUGCGUCACCUGACGGCUGAAAGAGGCCAGGGGUCUUCACAAGGCAGCGAGCUCACAUGCCCGGCAAGUGAGUGCUGGGUGAGGGUGGGAGGCCUCCCUUCCUCCCACAUGGAUCCCUGAGCAUCCUCCCAACACACAGCUGACUUAUCCCACCGUGAGAGCAAGGGGGCAGCUACCACGUCCUUUACGACCAAGCUUUGGACGUCACACACAGUGUCUCCACAGCAGCCUGUUGCUUUCACGGGCUUCGUCGUGGUAGGAGGAAGCUGCGUGAGGGUGCGGACACCAAGAGGCUGCCUGCCACCCCACCUGCAAGGAACACAGCCACGCUGUCCUCGGGACAGGCAGCAGGCAAGAGGGAGAGGACAUGAGCGUGGUGGACCUCCUGGAAGACCGUGAGGGGAGCCACGCAGGUGUCUGGAGGAAACCAUUCAGAUUCAGAGCUGAUGAAACCGAAAUCCCAGUUUUCACCGAGGACUGCAAACCUCCGAAGCUCACACAGCUUGAGCGCGAUGGUGAUAACAAAGAAACUUUAUCCUAAGUUCCCAAACUUUAUGUCAGGAG